UGACGAGGGAAGCAGCCUUUGAAUUUCUCUCACAUUCACUUGUCAUCACUCUUCACAUUUUCAUUUUCUGUGGCGUUUCUGGCUGCAUUUGCGGACCCCAUUUCGAAGAAAAUUUCCUGGACUCCAUUGAUGCUAAGCCAACUUUGGAUCGAAUCUGUGGCCGUCUUCGACACGGCAUCCUCUUACUUCACUCCACCCUCAGAACUACUUGGUGUUGGCGUCUAUAAAUAUGUGCGUGCGGAGAAUAACCACCUCACAGUAUCCACCGUUGGUGCAACUUUCUUUUACUUCUUUUCUUCCUUCCUUUUCCUCGUCUAGAUGGCUACUUCUGCCAUAUGUUGGUGGUGCCAUUGUUUCUUUACCUCCUAUUAGUAGUAUCAAUUAAUGGUACAGCCUUACAGUUGCUGAUGAUCAUCGGUGGGUGGGAGUGCGUUGCAGUCUGCUAGGCAAAAGCAUCGCUGUCGCAGCUCGAAGCAGCGAAACUUAUCCAGCAGCUUAGAGACCAAGACUACUAACUGAGUGGUGGCACCAUUAAUGGUGCUUAGCCUCAUACUUAACCCUCAUACUUAAGAGAAGCUUGAGAGGGUUGGAGGAAAGGAGAGGAGUGGGGAGGACGCCGAUGUGGAGAAUUUGAAGGUGCACCUUCCCGGCCGGCCGGUAUCACGGGCAAGGCUGUCAGUGAGGGAUAUGCAGCUGAGCAACGGGAUGGUGGCGGAAGGGACGAUGAGCAUGGUUGCCUUGUGGGCCAUAACGCACGACAGCAAAUGGGUCGGAGGACACAGGAGAAUUUAAGUCCAAGAGGUUCAUGAAGAUGGCAACCGAGUAGCUGAUGAUGAUGAUGACCGUUCAUUGGCUGCCUCUGCAUAUCCUCCUUCACGUUGCCGUGGUGGGUAUCGCCCACAUGUUGAACAUGGCCGUCGUCUCUACCGGCACCACCAUCCCGUUGCUCAGCUGCACGUCGCUCGUCAAUAGCCUUGCCCAAGAUAGUAGUCGAUCGAGAUGGUGCACCCUCAGAGUCUCCAUCUGGUGAGCGGAAAUCACCGAAGAAGGGCCAAAAUCCUCCUCACUUUCUUUCAUUCCCAGGGCUCUUAUUUGGGAACACAGACAGACUGCCACCAUUUGUACCUAGUUUUUAUAGGAAUCCAACUGAUGAGCGAGCUGGUAACGAUGUUGGUGUCCUCCACGCUCCUCUACUUCAUCCAACUCCCUCUCAAGAUUCUCCUAAAGAUGGGGGCCAAGCUGCACAACGCCGCCAUCAGCCACUCAAUGAGUAAGAUUUUGAUGGGACUCGACCUUUGCACUUUUCCAGCACGACCCUGGAGCCUAUUUCUGAAUCAACACCUGUGGACGCAAAGCAUAUACUAAGGAAAAUCAAGGGAGAGAAUGAGAAAAAGAAGAACGAAGAAGUAAAGGUGAUCGGUUGAGGGCUUUCCAAACCUUCAGAGGCUAAUCUUUUGAGUCUAUAUGAAUUCUGUAAAAAUCUAUAAAUUCUUAUAGGAGAAUGUUGGGCCUUUUAA